rnacentral:lncRNA from 1 species
UUCUACUAGGUUAAAUGCACCGAGUUACAAUGUCACAUGUCAAGUUCUAGUUGUCAACUAGGUUAGAUAUCACAAUCUUAGCUUCAUGUCUAGCCUUGUUAUUCACUAGGUCACAAAGUCAUAUUUGCUUGUCUACACAGGCAUAUUAUUCAUCAUGUGAGAUGAUCACUUUUCUAACCCAUUCACUAGGUACCCUCUAAGUAAUGUAUCAUUAUUCAUACUCUAACAUGCUUCCUCAGGUUGCAUAAAAGAGAAGUCAUCAUGAAGUAUCAUUUAAUGUACAAGUCCAC